AUUCACCUUCCUCCUGUGAGGGAGCUCGUCGACGCCAUCGCAUAGGACGAAGCGUAUGAAAUCCUAACGGAUGCCAAAUCCAGUGACUCUCCUUCAGAGAAUAUGAGGCCUGCAUCAUCUGCAAGAUGCUCGUCGCCGUUGAGGUAUUGGAUCACCUGCUUCAUGCUCGGCCUGACCUCCGGAACCGAUUGGCAGCAGACCAACCCUAACUUGAGCACCAACUCCAUCUCUUCCUUGUUGUAGCACUUCUGAAGCCUCGAAUCUGCCACUUGUAGGAGCUCACCCUUCUCCUGACACUCUCUCACCCAAUCCACCAGACUCAGCUCGUUUGGCGGUGCCUCAAACUUGAUUGGCCGUCGACCACAAGCUACUUCCAAG
rnacentral:lncRNA from 1 species